AACUUUUGACAAUGGAUCACUUGGCUUUCGCAUCGAUGAAGGACGCCGCGAACGUGCGAAACGUAAUGUGAAUUGCAGAAUUCAGUGAAUCAUCGAAUCUUUGAACGCAUCUUGCGCUCCUUGGUAUUCCGAGGAGCAUGCCUGUUUGAGUGUCGUGAACUUACCUCAAACCCCCUUUGUCUUCCUCGGAAGAGAGAGUGGGGUUUGGAUCUGGAUGCUUGCGGCGGGGCAGAUCUGUCUCCUGCCGCUCGUAUUUAAAUGCAUCAGCUUGUCCCUCAGAGUCGGUCCAACGAACGGUGUGAUAAUAAACACUUUGUUAACUGUGGCGCCGUUUUCGGCCGAUUCAUAUUGGAUGGGGGGUUCGCUUCCAGUCGUCUUCGGACAGUUUGUUGUCGUCUGACAUCAAAUCAGGUAGGACUACCCGCCGAAUUUAAGCAUAUCAAUAAGCGGAGGCU
rnacentral:misc_RNA from 1 species